rnacentral:rRNA from 3 species
UGGGGAAUUUUGCGCAAUGGGGGAAACCCUGACGCAGCAACGCCGCGUGCGGGACGACGGCCUUCGGGUUGUAAACCGCUUUCAGCAGGGAAGAAAUUCGACGGUACCUGCAGAAGAAGCUCCGGCUAACUACGUGCCAGCAGCCGCGGUAAUACGUAGGGAGCGAGCGUUAUCCGGAAUCAUUGGGCGUAAAGAGCGCGUAGGCGGCCUCUCAAGCGGGAUCUCUAAUCCGAGGGCUCAACCCCCGGCCGGAUCCCGAACUGGGAGGCUCGAGUUCGGUAGAGGCAGGCGGAAUUCCCGGUGUAGCGGUGGAAUGCGCAGAUAUCGGGAAGAACACCGAUGGCGAAGGCAGCCUGCUGGGCCGCAACUGACGCUGAGGCGCGAAAGCUAGGGGAGCGAACAGG